UUACCAGUCAGGCUCCUGGCUAGAAUCCAGGUACUGGCUGGUACCUGAUCUAGCCAAAGCCUGACCGUAAG
rfam:Neotoma lepida isolate 417 scaffold_8183, whole genome shotgun sequence.